UGGGUCUACGCUGUUUGCAAUGUCCUUUUUUCAGGACGCUAGGCAUGAAUGGGUUAAACUUUUCCUAAAGUUGCAACUGUCACAGCAGCAACUGUACUUUCCUUGAUACCCUGUCAAGGUGAAGUAGGACUUUGUAAUCACUGGUGCUGUGUCCCAAACAUUUCAGAUCUCUCCACACAUUCAAAAUAGUCUAUUUUAUUAUUAAUUAAUUAUGCCCCACUUCUAAGAUGCUGGGGUGUAUCACUUUGCACCUCUUCGUUAGUUGGUAGGCGGGUUGGUAUGUUGACCAUUGGUUGUCAGGCAAUAAGUAGAGAACAUAGCUUUGAUUUAUGACCUUUGACCUAUAACAAUGCUUAUCAGUAUGAUGGUUUUUGAGAGGAAACAAAAAUGCUUACUGAUUUUGAGGUCAACAGAUCAAAUGUCAAGAUCAUGAUCUUUAGAGAAUGCUUCACUUAAGAUCGUGCAAAUGUGUAUACAUGUAGUGGUUACUUGUGAGAAAGAACAGACGUUUAUGGCAAUUGAGGUCUCCUGGUCAUGGAUCAUGGUAAGAGGAGUUUAACAAGAAAUUUGUUUCCCCUCUAGAUUUUGAGAAUGUUUUGACCUACAAUCUGGCAAAGGUUAAUAGUGGUUGCAUUGGAAAAAAAGAGGACGCAUUUUGAUUUUGGUGAUUACUAGGUUUAAGAUCAAGGUCAAAUGAGCUUGUAUCAAGAGACUUUUUACUGCAUGAUAUCCAGGGAACACUUUUGCCUGCCAUAUUCUUAACCCAUUUAUGCCUAGCGUCUAGAAAAAAGGCCUUGGCAAACAGCGUAGACCCAGAUGAGUCGCCGUAUCAUGCGGCGUCUCAUCUGGGUCUGCGCUGUUUGCUUAAAGGAAUUUCUGUAAGAAAUAUUCUAAAUAUAGAAAUAAAUAUACUAGACAUCCCUAAUUUUGGAGAUAAAUUUAUCCAAUUUAGAAAGAUGGGAGAGUCCACUAGGCUUAAAUGGGUUAAUCUGUAUUCUGGUUAUUUGGGAGGAUAGAAAGACGCCCAUUGAUUUUGAGGUCAACAGACCAAAGGUAAAGAUCACAGGGGCUUGUAACAGGCAACUCUUUUCCAUACAAUACCUCAAGAAUGCUUUGACCUAAGAUCAUGAAAAUUGAAAAAGUGAUAACUUUGGUUGAAAGGAAGAUUAAGUUUGAAAAGAUGAAGGUUGUAUGUGCUUGUAUCAUGCUAUUGGUUUCUUCACAAUAUCUAGAGACUGCUUUGAUUAUUAUCAACUUAAUUGGUAUGCUGGGUACUUGGUAGGAAAGAAAGAUGCCUAUAGAUUUUAAGGUCACCAUGUCAAAGAUCAAGGGCAGACAUCAAGAAAAUGUUUAGGAUGAGAUAAAUUAGUUUGCUGGUCAGUGUUGAUGAAAGAUAACUCCUCGUGAUUUUUAAAUCAAGAUAACGAAGGUCAAGGUUACAAGGACAAUUUUGCUGCAAUUUGGGGGACAUACAUUUUGCAAAUAUCUUUUGUUUGUGUUUUAUGUUGUUCAAAACUGUCUUAAAAAUAUCUUGCCUGGAGAACCAAUUGUUAUUUCCUCCUUUAUGGACAAAAAGACUGUUUUGUUACUUUAAAUGUUUCAAAUUUUACAAGAUGUGUAAGAUAAGAAAGACAAAGUAUAUUUACACUAUAUAUUUUAUUUCACUGAUCACUAUUUAUUAAAUGUUUGGAAGAUCAUAAUUGUUGCAUUUACUUGUUAUGUCCCUGCCAAGCAUAUUUACUUCAUCUAGCACAAACACUGCCUGCUGCACAGGCUGAUCUGAUAUGACACUUUAUGCACAUGGCAGUAUGCCUAGUUUUCCCAGAACAAGACUCGUUAGUAAAAUGCCAUGUGAAUGUGGAGUAAGGGCCCGGGAUUGUAUUAUCCACAUAUAUUGUUGUCCCAAUGAUAUCUUGGAUGAGUUGGAAAACAGUAAUAAUUUGCAUAACUAAAUUAUUCAUUAUGCCCCCCUUCGAAGAAGAUGGGGUAUAUUGUUUUGCAAAUGUCGGUCCGUCCGUCCGUAUGUCCAUCCACCAGAUGGUUUCCGGAUGAUAACUCAAGAACGCUUAGGCCUAGGAUCAUGAAACUUCAUAGGUACAUUGAUCAUGACUCGCAGAUGACCCCUAUUGAUUUUGAAGUCACUAGGUCAAGGUCAUGGUGACCCGAAAUGUUAAAAUGGUUUCUGGAUAACUCAAGACCGCUUAUUCCUAGGAUCAUGAAACUUCAUAGGUACAUUGAUCAUGACUCGAAGAUGACCCCUAUUGAUUUUCAGGUCACUAGGUCAAAGAUCAAGGUCACGGUGACCCGAAAUAGUAAAAUGGUUUCCAGGAGAUAACUCAAGAACGCUUAUGCCUAGGAUCAUGAAACUUCAUAGGUACAUUGAUCAUGACUCGCAGAUGACACCUAUUGAUUUUCAGGUCACUAGGUCAAAGGUCAAGGUCACGGUGACCCGAAAUAGUAAAAUGGUGUCCGGAUGAUAACUCAAGAACGCUUAUGCCUAGGAUCAUGAAACUUCAUAGGUACAUUGGUCAUGACUGGCAGAUGACCCCUAUUGAUUUUCAGGUCACUAGGUCAAGGUCACGGUGACCCGAAAUAGUAAAAUGGUUUCUGGAUGAUAACUCAAGAAUGUUUAUGCCUAGGAUUAUGAAACUUCAUAGGUACAUUGAUCAUGACUCGCAGAUGACCCCUCAGGUCACUAGGUCAAAGGAAGGUCAAGGUCACGGUUACUCAACUUAGAAAAAUGGUUUCCGGAUGAUAACUCAAGAACGCUUACGCCUAGGAUCAUGAAACUUCAUAGGUACAUUGAUCAUGACUCGCAGAUGACCCCUAUUGACUUUCAGGUCAGUAGGUCAAAGGUCACGGUGACUUGACACAGUAAAAUGGUUUCCGGAUGAUUACUCAAGAUUGCUUAUGCCUAGGAUCAUAAAACUUCAUAGGUACAUUGAUCAUGACUCGCAGAUGACCCCUAUUGAUUUUCAGGUCACUAGGUCAAAGGUCAAGGUCACAGUGCCAAAAAACGUAUUCACAUAAUGGCUGCCACUACAACUGACAACCCAUAUGGGGGGCAUGCAUGUUUUACAAACAGCCCUUGUUUAUUUCUGAAUAUAUGGUGAUAUUUUGAAUCUUGAUAUGACUGUAGAAUAUUGACUGUUUUUACAUUUCAUACCAAAUAGCCUUCAACAUAUUUGCCUGUGCAAUCUGGGUGACAUGCCAAGUAAUGGUAAAAGGUCAUAAUCAAGGACAAUAUUUAAGACAAGCUUUUCUAGGGCCAAAUGUUUCCUUUGACCCCAAAGUGUAACCUUGACCUUUGACGUAUUUUAUGUUAAAGUUGUCUUUUCAUUGGUGAUCAAAAGUUCUUUUACGAGUAUACAAAGCUCUGACAGGCACAUACACUUGAUCAUUGUGAUCUCUAUCUUAAGCUUUCUGCAGCAGGCUGGACAAAAAUUAUGUCAUUUUUAUGCAUGAGAUAUCUAUAUAUCAGCAUUUCUGAAAUAGAGGUUAUAUUACACCAUAUUUAUAUAUUUCAACAAUGCACGUUUGAUGACAGGUUAACAAAGUUAUACCUUUCAGGCACAGAUGUGCACACAUGCAUGUUUUGAAUUUUAUUACUUUGAUUACCAAUUAUGUUUAAAGAGUAAACCACAAACGACAAGUAACAAUUCAUAAUUUAUUAUAUGUAUAAUUCAACAAUGUCAUGUAACCAAUAUAAGCUACAUUAAUUAGAUUAUGUAUAACUAACAACAGAAUAUAUUGAUAUAAAAUAAAAAUAUAGUAGCCUAUACAGCAGCAGUAUUUAUUCUAAAAAAGUAUUUGCGAAAUACAUGCACACAUAUGAGCCUUGUUCUGGGAAAACUGGGCUUAAUGCAUGUGUGUAGUGUCAUCUGAGCUCUGCAGUCAGCACAGGCUUAUCAGGGAGGACACUGCGAUUGUAUGUUUUUUCGUUUAUAAAAGUCUCUUGUCAACCAAAAUCCAGUGCAGGCGGAGAGAUGCAUUAAAUCCAGUUUUUAACGAACAAGGCUCAUAUAAUAAGUAAAUUAAUACAGAAGAGUUCUCAAAUUCAAUUGCUCAACACAAAUUUGAAUAAGGACAAGUUCACUUAAAGUAUGAAAAUAAAGAAUGUAUUACAAGUAAUGAUCCCAUUCGAAAAUAAACAAGCACAUUCGUUGAAUUGAUAUCCCCCGCCAAUAUGCUUCUGGACACAAAAGUGUUAUAUUUGACACUCAAAAAAAGCAUUUUUUCAAGAUACAGAGGGCCAUAACUCCGUUAUUAACAGAUGGUGUACAAUGCAAUUUGGCGUGCAUCAUCCUCUUAUCCAUAUAUAUAUACUCAUACCAAGUUUCAAUGAAAUCCGCCAAAGCACUUCCAAGAUAUGGCUCCAUACGGACGGAAAGACAGACGGAAGGACGGACAGACAACGCCAAAACAAUAUCCCUCCGCCUAUGGCAGGGGAUAAUAAUGUUAAACAUGUUAUUUGCAUAAACAAUUAAAGCAAAGGCACUAUGGUGCCCAAAACAAGCACAUUGAGUUGAUUGACUGUCUCUAAAAACAUAUUAAGACAAUUUCAUAGUUCUAUCUGCAAUUAUGACUUUAUAUGCUUCUCAUAAAACCCGCUUCUUACUUUGAUUGCAUUUGUUACUGAACAUUUAUUUCUAGUUGAUUAUCAAAAUUUUGCCCUAACAAGAGCAUCGCAUAGCAGGUGCCAACGCUUGGCUACGGG